CACGUAGGGCGCAAGCGUUGUCCGGAAUUAUUGGGCGUAAAGAGCUUGUAGGCGGUUUGUCGCGUCUGCUGUGAAAUCUCAAGGCUCAACCUUGAGCUUGGAGUGGGUACGGGCAGACUAGAGUGUGGUAGGGGAGACUGGAAUUCCUGGUGUAGCGGUGAAAUGCGCAGAUAUCAGGAGGAACACCGAUGGCGAAGGCAGGUCUCUGGGCCACUACUGACGCUGAGAAGCGAAAGCAUGGGGAGCGAACAGG
rnacentral:rRNA from 1 species